rfam:Daucus carota subsp. sativus cultivar DH1 chromosome 7, whole genome shotgun sequence.
UCCGGUGAUGGCAUGAAAUAAUCUUUGAGACCUGAUUCUUAUUGAUGACAACCUUAAGCAUGUUGCUGAGGAU